UACGUAGGCAGCAAGCGUUGUUCGGAGUUACUGGGCGUAAAGGGUGCGUAGGCGGCUUCUUAAGUCUGGUGUGAAAUCUCCCGGCUCAACUGGGAGGGUGCGCCGGAUACUGAGGGGCUAGAGUGUGGGAGAGGAAAGUGGAAUUCCUGGUGUAGCGGUGAAAUGCGUAGAUAUCAGGAGGAACACCGGUGGUGUAAACGGCUUUCUGGACCAUAACUGACGCUGAGGCACGAAAGCGUGGGUAGCGAACAGG
rnacentral:rRNA from 1 species